AACGAACGCUGGCGGCAGGCUUAACACAUGCAAGUCGAGCGCAUCCUUCGGGGUGAGCGGCGGACGGGUGAGUAACGCGUGGGAACGUGCCCUCUUCUACGGAAUAGCCUCGGGAAACUGAGAGUAAUGCCGUAUACGCCCGCAAGGGGAAAGAUUUAUCGGAGGAGGAUCGGCACGCGUGGGAUUAGGUAGUUGGUGGGGUAACGGCCUACCAAGCCGACGAUCCAUAGCUGGGUUGAGAGGAUGAUCAGCCACACUGGGACUGAGACACGGCCCAGACUCCUACGGGAGGCAGCAGUGGGGAAUCUUGGACAAUGGGGGCAACCCUGAUCCAGCCAUGCCGCGUGAUCGAUGAAGGCCUUAGGGUUGUAAAGAUCUUUCAGCUGGGAAGAUAAUGACGGUACCAGCAGAAGAAGCCCCGGCUAACUCCGUG
rnacentral:rRNA from 1 species